GUUGUCCGAGUCCAGCUGCGAGCUGUUUGGCAGCUGGGGACAGUUGUCCUUGGUGUCCUGAUGCCCGUCCCCAUCGCUGCUCAGAAGAAAGGGCGACAAGUACCGUCUGAAAACGAUUUCUCUGUGUAUCCCUGGCUGGCCUGGAACUCACUCUGCAGACCCGCCUGCCUCUGCCUCCCUGAGUGCUGGGAUUAAAGGUGUGCCACCACCACACCCGGCUGUACCUCGACAUUCUUGAUGCCAUCACCAUCAGCAUCGUCAUCACAUUGGUCCCCGACACCAUCAUUAUCAGCAUCUUCUUGCCCAGAGUUGGGUGUCAAAAGGCAAUUGUCCUGGGGUUCAGAGGGAGGAAGAGGAUGGGUCCGGGUUACCUGGCAAGACACUGCACCAUUGCGUUCAAAGAGACAGAAAGCCACAUAGACUACACAGUCUGACCUGUUUACUGGCCCGAGCAUAGUCGAUGCCCACACCAGACACUCGGGUGCCCUUGUACCCUGGAGGGCAGGCCUCACAGUGGAAGCCAGGCAUGGUGUUGAUGCAACUGGAGCCCGGGAAACAGGGGUCAGAGUGAGCACACUGCGGACCAAAUGAGAAGGCAGAAGUCAGGCAUUUGCCUGGGAAGGAUUUCCCUGUGUAGCUUUGAAGCCUGUCCUGGAACUCUCUCUGUAGACCA